GCUUACGGCCAUACUACCCUGAAAAUGCCCGAUCUCGUCUGAUCUCGGAAGCCAAGCGGGGUCAGGCCUGGUCAGUACUUGGAUGGGAGACCGCCUGGGAAUACCAGGUGCCGUAAGCU
ensembl:rRNA 5S_rRNA 5S ribosomal RNA